GUCUCCGGGCAGCGCCGACCCCCGAGCAGCGUGGGGCCCUAGGUUCGCGCCCAGGUUCGCAGAGAGGAGCAGCCGACCUCACCCCGCCGGCCGGGCUCCCUGCCGCUGCACUGGGCCCCGAGCCACAGGCGCCCCCUGGCGGCGAGUGGGAAAGCAGCGCCCGCCUGGCCCACCGGGGCACCCUGGGCUCGCUGAGGCCGCCCGACCGAGGAGCGAGGGAUCCCUUGCGCCUCGCUCGCGCGGGGCCCCUGCCUGGACUCUAUGCCUCUCCAGAACCACGGCGUCGUGCAGACGGAAAGCGAACCCGCACCAGUUUAUUUCCUAGCGCCUGAGCGGUGAGGAACCAUAAGGAGCGAGGCUUGGCCCGAGAAGAACCCGAAGCAGAAGCACAGCCAGACGGCCGGAUGGCUGCCUCCUUCGCGUCUCUCCACUGCCCUGUGUGCAGCCCGGACACCGCCCCGGCGUCGGGGGAGGCCUUCAAGGGAAAGCGCUUCCCUCCGACAGUGAGAGGAGUAGCGUCCCCGACACCUCCGCUCCUCGCCCGACCCCAGAGCGUUACACGAGUACCUGGCCACCGGCCUCCCACACUGCGAGGCUGGGAAGGCAGCGGCCCAGCCCUGAGCAGAGCACCCGCGCGCACCAGGCCCUCGGAAACGCGCAGUCAGUUUACUAAAUACUGUUCCAGAAAUAGGGGUGGCGCUCUCGUCUCUUCUUUCUAAAACCCCAGCAGUGGCUUCUGCUACAAAGACAGGGCAGCCCUUCCUCGGAACCAACCCAACGGCCUCCAGGCCCUGCCCCGACGCCCGACCUUGACACCGCCAUCCGGGACACCCAGCUGCACCCCGACCAUCCUGUCUCCUGUCCCCUCCCUCUGCCUGCCAUGUCCUCCUUCCAGGUCACGUCUGACCAGUCCGCACUCCUGCACUCACUCGCGGGGUCACGGCCCCAGCCGCUCUGUGCGGCACCCCGCAACCCGGGCAGGGCUCCCCAGUGCCCUCUACGUGGCCUUCUACCUCACUGCUUACACGACUCCCUCCUGGCUAUCUCCCAUGGCUGCCGAGAAUGAAUUUUUUUUAAUUGACCACACACACACACACACACACACACACACACACACACACACGGGCUUAUUCCUCUGUACCUGAGGAAAGCUCUUUCCUGGCUCCUGGCUCCUAAAACUCAAUGCAGUUGCAACCCCACACCACUUGAGGGAUGAAUUGCGUCCCCAAAUCGAGCGCUGUAUUUACAAUAACGUGCUUUAGUUAGAAGGCUCUCUUACAGCAUGCUGUUGGGAUGCUUUCCUUGCAGUAAUCUGCAGAUGUCAUAUGCCGGUGCCUGCGUUUUCAAGGUCGAUUAUUCAUUCCGCACUUUUGCUUUUAUACAAACCCUCUCCCUGGAGCCGUAAGGCAUAAGGUGCUGCUCCAGAGUGUCUGGGAGGGAAGUGCACCCAGGCGGAAGGUCCUGCAGUGCAGGAGACUGUUUCUUGCUGCUCCUUUGCAGGGUGAUCACAGGGAAGCACAGGCGAAAGGCACUGAAUAAUUACAGCUCUGAACUUUCAGUAAAAGGCCAAACCAUUUGGAUUCCUCCCUUUGGACAUUUGAAUAACGGUGCAAAAUCUUUCACUGCAUUUUUAUAGUUUUCUUGCUUCUCAGUACCUCCCAAUAACUUAGGGAGGCAGGUCGAGUAGACAUCGCGCCAUUCCAUUAUGAAUAGAUUAAGGAUGGAGAAUAAGGUGGUUUUUCUCAGAUUGUCUGUGAUAUUGACAAGGUCUGCUAGAGCCGUGAGACCAAACCACACGGUCAAAUCUCACUUCUCCUCUGUGACCUCAGACUCGUUUAAUCGCCUCCUGCCUCAGUUUCCUUAUCUGCAAACUGAGAUAUCAGGGAUGCACAUCUCGUGGGCUCUGAAGAUAAGUUCACCUAUGAAAGCCACUCAUUCCCGUGAUGAGGACUGACCCAGGGUGCUUUCUCAAAUUGCAUGGGGAGCUGAGACACGGCCGGGCUGGUUCAGGCCCUUGUGAAAUCACCUUCUCGGUGUUCGAAGCCAGCAUCAGCUGCUGAAGCACAUUUCGAAAGAGGCCCAAAAAUGACACAGUUCAAAGCGGCUCAAAGGAAAAAAGAAAUUGGAAAACAUGGUGCGCAUCCUUCAUCACCGGGUGCCACAGCCGUGCAUCUCCAUGUUCCAGACAUCGAGCAGGCCUGCUGUGGGCCACCAGCAGGACCCUGGCCAGCACAGUGCCCUGCACACUCCUCCCCAGGGCCUGACAUCCAGGGGCCACGGCUCUGCCAGACCACACAGGACCUGGCUGAGGACUGCACCAGAACAAAGACAAGAAGCACACAUCUGUGAAUGAACCAGGGAGACACUUUCUGGGUUCUUGUCUCUCCGAGAAGGCAAACUUUUAUUUCCAGAGGAAGUGAAUCCCAGCCAUAGUUAUUGCCUUUCAGUCCUGUCAAACUGUUUCAAAAAAGUUUUUUACGCUACCCUUUUUAUGUUUUCCAGAUAAGGAAACAAAGACGUGGGGAGAAGAUUCUAUUCUAUGCCUUUCCAUUUCCCUCCUCAGAGAUGCCCUUCCUGCUCCAGAGACCAGAGGCCUGGCCCUGUGCAGACCAAGUCCCGAUCCCGAAACACCAGCCUUGGUGCCCUGGCUGCCCCCACCAAAGUCACACAGCAAGGGCCACCUGGUCCAAGCCGUGGUCGUGGUCUGAGUUCCCAAAUCCCGCUGGACAUUUCCUUUGAGAAGGACCUACUUCUUCCCUUUCUGCUUCCUGUUCCAGUUACCAACAGUUGGUGCACAAGCAGUAGAUUCUGAUAAACAGUUGUUUCCUCGUUGAGUGUCAUUGAGUAAAUAAUCACAAAACCAUCAUGAGUGGAGAAGGGAGUGUCCCAGGCCUUGUGAAAAGAUGGCAAACACCUGUGUUCUGACACCAUUUCCUGGAGACAAAUGAUGGUCAGGUAAAUGACCGCCAUCACGUCAAAAGCCAUAUUAAUGAGCACUUCCCUGCCUCACUGUGUCCAGCGUGUGUCUUCACAAACCAGCCUUGCUCCGUGUGAGUUUAGAGUCGAGUCAACUUACUCCUCUCCUAGCUCAGAGGACCAGAGACACCCAACAAACCAAGCAAGUUUCCCAUAAGUAGGGAGUAACGGAGAGAGAGGGAGAGAGGGAGAGAGAGAGAGAGAACCAGAGACUGAGAUGAAGACAGGUCAGCUCCAAGCAUGAAGGUUAUUUUAGCAUCUCUUUAUCUAGUUUUCUACCCACUGCUCACAGUCCGUAGAGAUGAACUUCACGGCCGGUUUACACGGUGUCUAAAGCCACAUGCAGGAGCCGUGCAUGCAAACACACAGCGUACACACAGUCGGCACGCAUGCCCUGCGGGGCACUGACGCAGCUGAGGUGUGAGCAAACGCCUGUCCUGUGGGAUCGGGACACUCUUUGGAAGAUCCUGGCAGGGGUGGCCAGAACAGCAGACACAUGGCUUACAGUGCAAGAGGCUGCAGGCGAGGCCCUGCUUGUCCUGGACCAGACGGCUGCUCCGGUGACCUCAUCUAACCGGCUGACUCCCGGCCCACGCUCGGUGCCAUCCGGUGGGGAGCUGCAGCCGAGUGGGACGGUGACACUCGGCUGGUGAAGCCUCCCACAAGGGGCCGGAAGGUAGUUAAAAGGGUCACCCCACAGAUGGGCAGGGUCACCCCCAUGGAAUGAGUUUGGCUCAUUUUUGCCACGCUCCUGUCUGCAGAGACAUCACGACCAAUCACACAGGGACAUGGUUGCUUUCCAGCAGGAGAGGAAAGCACAUUUGGUGUCCCUGCUGAUCUGUCUGCAGUUUUCCCUUCAACUCUUGCUGUGUUUUCAGGUCCGACAAAUGAGUCCUUUUGCAUGUGACUCCCUGCCCACUUGGCAUGCAGAGCUUUCCUCUCCUUUCCCAAAGGCUUUUGCCUCGGGCUCCCAUCAGGACUCUGCCUGAGACCUGACCUUCAUGAGCUGAACCUGAGGGAAGCCUGGCGCUGUAGAGAAGUGGAGUCUCCCACAGGGCCCUGGCUCUCUCUCCGUGAUUUGUCUUCCUCUGUGCUCACUUGUUAAUAACCGGAAGCCAGGUGAAGACACACUGACUCAUCUGACCAUGAUGCCCAGCCUGUGUAACUUUGCGCCCAUGUGAACAGUGAGGCGGCCUGCAUGAGAAUUGGAGGCCCUGAUUCACAUUCAUCACCUUCAGCGAGAAAAGAUCACCUUCAUCUUAGUACUCCCACGCUGUGGGGACCUUUCCUUUGCAGAUAGAAAGUCAGCAAUAUUCUAGAAGAAUUUCAACAUGUUAAUUAAAGAAAGUAUUCUAAGGAAGUGAUCCGGAAUAUGGAACCAAUGGAUAAAUCUGUGUGCGGUAGAGUUUAACAAUUCUUUAAAAGAAAACAAAACAACUACGUAACAAAAGGAAUAUUCCAGGCAGUUUUGGGAGAUUAGGUUCAGGGUUAAGGUUAGUACUUUCAAAUUAACACUGUUGUACUUAAGAGGCUUCACAAAGGACUUUAUGUUGAAUGAUGGGAGAGCUUUGCAUGGUGUGACGUCAACUCUGUUAGUACUCCACAGGGAGACUAUAAACUCCUAACAGUGUUGUGGAGAGAAUUAGGAGACUGUUGUUUUCUUCAUGCUUCUCUCUCUCUCUCUCUCUUGCAUUUUAUGUAAAGAACAUUUGUCUCUUUAAAUUAUAAAAAUGUUACUGACGUUUUCAUUUCCACUUGAGGCUACAAACUGAAGUGGCCUAAGAACCCAGUAGUUCCACAACUGGUGAUUGUGAAAGCCAGAAUGAGGACUCAGGCACGGCCACAAAAUCUCUGCACUGGAUAACAGGGUGGCUCGGGGGUGCCAGAUCCAGAUGCUUGAUAUAUUUGCUCAUUUUCCCUCAUACCUGGCUCUCCGCAGUAACUGGCCUUUUAUAUAACUGCCUUCCUUCUCCUGCUUCCUUCCUGUCUCUGCCUUCACCUCUUCUCAAAACGAACCCUUUGCAGCUUCCAGCCUUUUGCGAGCUGGUGAAGAAUUCCAACUCCGCUCCAGUAAGUAACCGCUUCUCCCCGUCAUCCACUGAGGGAGUCACUGCUGCCCAGAGCUACCUUGGUACGCGGAGUCGAUCUCCACGAAGCCGUUUCUAAACAAGAAAGGGCUCUGUGUAGCACAUCUCUGGAACAUUUAAAACCUGCAGAGCUCACUUUUAUAAAAAAGCACAUCGUUCAGAGUCUGCAUUGGGCCCCAGCCUUGCCGGACACGCUUCUCUGUGGUUGGACACACAGCGUCCCAUUCACCAUGGUUGCCGCAUAGUUCAUGUUUCUCCUCUCUCUCUCUCUCUCUCUCUCUCUCUCUCUCUCUCUUUUUUGUUUUUGGUACCGGGGAUCCAACUCAGGACCUUGCACUUUUGAGGCAGGUGGCGGAACCACUGAGCUAAAUCCCCGGCCCUCGUGUUUCUCUUUUUACAUUAGCUGCUAGGAAGCCCAAAACUAAGCUUUAUACUGAGUUAAGUACUUCUCAGCCCCAAUUGAAUUAAACAGAUAUCUCCACUUCUAUUUAAUUUUUGUCUUUGAUUCUAUGCAGUUGGCUUUGAUAUCAGUGUUUCAUGAGAGGAUACUCUCCAAGAGCAUUCAAAAAUUAUAAACAUACUACACAAAUGAAAAUAUUGUUGUCUUUUUUUGUCUUUAUACAAGGCAUUGAUGAGUAAACACGAAAUCUCCCCACUUCCCACUCUCAGGGUUAUUCUUCCUCUGAGGUCUUCUCAAGGGGAGGAGGGUGACAGUAACAUGAGAAUCUGUAGGAGUCAGUUGUUCCUUUCUUUGUGGGGUUCUUUUUUAUGCUUCCUUUGCUGCUGCAAAAUCCCUCACUACUUGCAGGGAGGGGUGGGUAAACUCCGCGUCUCCUUCUCCCCGGAACAGGGAUGCUCAGGAACAGUGUCUUCUCUGGCAGGCUCUCUUGUGGGGCUGCACCACCUCCACAGACUUGGCCCGCAUCCACCAGGACUCCUCCUUCCUCGGAAAGCCUUUGAGUGUGUAACUUAGCAACAGCUUUGCUUACAGCCCGAGUGUCCCAACAAAGUGUGUGCUUCUGUGGAGGACCAAAGACAACACUUCCUCCUCAUUCUCAGGCAACCUGGGACAUCAUCACAUUUCUAGGGAGAGACAAGCCCACGCUUCUCAUCCUCAGCAGGGGAAUGUCUGCUGUGCAAACCUCACCAGCCCCGGGAGGUUAACCUCCCAACUUCUGACUUUGAAUUUCUUCUUCCUUCAUCAGUGUGGAUGACCAGCAAGAAGAGACGUGGGUGUUAAUAUGGACUCCCCUAGCGCUCAGUUACAGCCUGCCUGCAUUUUUAGUUCAAAAAAACUAAAAGUUUUCUUAAAUAGCUAUCUUCUAUAAACUAGUUAGGCAGCAGCAACAUUUUCUUCACAUAGCUAGUGCCACCGAAACUUACUCCAGCAGGCUUAAACCACAAUUUUAUUUAUGAGUAAAUUAAAUUAGAAC
rnacentral:lncRNA from 1 species